rnacentral:ribozyme from 13 species
GAAAUCAACAAAACAACAAUAAUCAUCGCCCAUGUAAACAAUAAAACACACCAAGUACUCGAAAGUCCUCCCUCUCUUCUCAAUAUUUUUUCUUCGAUUGUAUUUUGGAUUCUGUUUUGUUGUUCCUCAAAAGGAGAAGAAAGAGAAGACCGAAGAGGAGUAGAAGUAGAAGUAAGAGAAGAAGCUUCUCCAAUUUCCUCAAUUUCUUCUUC